rnacentral:rRNA from 1 species
CACGUAGGGGGCAAGCGUUGUCCGGAUUUAUUGGGCGUAAAGAGCUCGUAGGCGGUUUGUUGCGUCGGCUGUGAAAUCCCGAGGCUCAACCUCGGGUCUGCAGUCGAUACGAGCAAACUAGAGUGUUGCAGGGGAGACUGGAAUUCCUGGUGUAGCGGUGAAAUGCGCAGAUAUCAGGAGGAACACCGGUGGCGAAGGCGGGUCUCUGGACAGUUCCUGACACUGAGGCACGAAGGCCAGGGGAGCAAACGGG